UACGUAGGGUGCAAGCGUUGUCCGGAAUUAUUGGGCGUAAAGAGCUUGUAGGCGGUUUGUCGCGUCUGCUGUGAAAUUUCGGGGCUCAACCCCGAACUUGCAGUGGGUACGGGCAGACUAGAGUGUGGUAGGGGAGACUGGAAUUCCUGGUGUAGCGGUGAAAUGCGCAGAUAUCAGGAGGAACACCGAUGUCGAAGGCAGGUCUCUGGGCCACUACUGACGCUGAGAAGCGAAAGCAUGGGGAGCGAACAGG
rnacentral:rRNA from 1 species